UUUUGUUGGAGAGUUUGAUCCUGGCUCAGGACGAACGCUGGCGGCGUGCUUAACACAUGCAAGUCGAGCGGAAAGGCCCUUCGGGGUACUCGAGCGGCGAACGGGUGAGUAA
rnacentral:rRNA from 1 species